rnacentral:rRNA from 1 species
CCCUUAGAUGUUCUGGGCUGCACGCGCGCUACACUGACGCACGCAACAGGUGCCUGCUCCGAGAGGACUGGGUAAUCAUUUGAGUGUGCGUCGUGAUGGGGAUAGAAUAUUGUAAUUAUUACUCUUCAACGAGGAAUUCCUAGUAAGCGCCAGUCAGCAGCUUGCGCUGAUUACGUCCCUGCCCUUUGUACACACCGCCCGUCGCUCCUACCGUUGGGUGAUCCGGUGAAUGAUUCGGACUUCAGCGGCUCCCCUGGGGUGCGCCGGAGAAAGUUUUGUGAACCUUAUCACUUGGAGGAAGGAGAAGUCGUAACA